rnacentral:rRNA from 1 species
CCUACGGGAGGCAGCAGUGGGGAAUAUUGCACAAUGGGCGGAAGCCUGAUGCAGCGACGCCGCGUGAGGGAUGACGGCCUUCGGGUUGUAAACCUCUUUCAGCAGGGACGAAGCGAGAGUGACGGUACCUGCAGAAGAAGCACCGGCCAACUACGUGCCAGCAGCCGCGGUAAGACGUAGGGUGCGAGCGUUGUCCGGAUUUAUUGGGCGUAAAGAGCUCGUAGGCGGCUUGUCGCGUCGACCGUGAAAACUUGGGGCUCAACUCCAAGCCUGCGGUCGAUACGGGCAGGCUAGAGUUCGGUAGGGGAGACUGGAAUUCCUGGUGUAGCGGUGAAAUGCGCAGAUAUCAGGAGGAACACCGGUGGCGAAGGCGGGUCUCUGGGCCGAUACUGACGCUGAGGAGCGAAAGCGUGGGGAGCGAACAGGAUUAGAUACCCUU